rnacentral:rRNA from 1 species
UACGGAGGGAGCUAGCGUUGUCCGGAAUCAUUGGGCGUAAAGCGCGCGUAGGUGGCCAUGUAAGUCCGCUGUGAAAGUCGAAGGCUCAACCUUCGAAAGCCGGUGGAUACUGCAUGGCUAGAGUACGGAAGAGGCGAGUGGAAUUCCUGGUGUAGCGGUGGAAUGCGCAGAUAUCAGGAGGAACACCAAUAGCGAAGGCAGCUCGCUGGGACGUUACUGACACUGAGGCGCGAAAGCGUGGGGAGCGAACAGG